GAGGUGUUAGUAAAACCAUUACAUAGUCUUGUCAAGACUAAAUUACUGACGAAACCCCAGUACACCUCA
rnacentral:tRNA from 1 species